CAAUUGGUCAUUAAAAUACUCGGCGUAAACAAAACAAAAAACAAUGAUACGCAGUCGUUUAAAGUAAAAAAAAAAAGCGAAUCUGGGAAGUCUAAAACCCUAAUAGUAAAAACUCCAAAUCUAAUUUGUUAGUCACUCUCUCUCGUCGGAAGGAAGGAAGAAGAGGAAGAUCUCAAGAUGCCUCUGUACGACUGUAUGCUUCUGUUCAAGCCAAUAAUCAGGAAGGAGGGUCUGAUCGAGCUCGUUGCGCGCAUAGGGAAACACGUUACAGCAAAAAUGGCGUACUCACGGAGGUCAAAUCAUUCGGCAAGGUCGAAUUGGGUUACGGUAUUAAGAAGCUCGACGGUAGACACUAUCAGGGACAACUGAUGCAGAUAACAAUGAUGGCAACACCAAACAUGAACAAGGAGCUUCACUACCUCAACAAGGAAGACAAACUCCUGCGCUGGCUCCUUGUUAAACACCGCGACAUCAAGAUUGGAUCAUCUGAAAUGGAAGAUCGUCAGGACGAGUUCAGCAGAGUUACUAACAGGAGCUUAUAUGAGGAAUCCUCAACGGACGAAGAAGACGAUAUCCUUGGCUUAAGACGAUGAUGAGGAGACGAGGAAAUCGUUUUUUACUCAGACCAGAGUGUGUGUCCUUCAUCUUUGUCUUAUGGUUUUAUUGGCUGAUAAAUGCAAACAUGUAUUGACACGUCAUCUUUGCAUGGGCAGAGAUGUGUCUCUGUUUUUAGAAUUUUCUCAUUUUUGAUUUUAAUUAUUAAAAAUAGAGGUGAUCGUUGGUGAACAAAACACUUGUUGUCGUUGUUUCUAUUUUUUACCCUUGGUCGCUCCA